rnacentral:rRNA from 1 species
GCGAAUGCUGACAUGAGUAGCGAUAAUGCGGGUGAAAAGCCCGCACGCCGUAAGCCCAAGGUUUCCUGUUCAACGUUCAUCGGAGCAGGGUGAGUCGGCCCCUAAGGCGAGGCAGAGAUGCGUAGCUGAUGGGAAGCAGGUUAAUAUUCCUGCACCGUCGUAUGAUGCGAUGGGGGGACGGAUCGCGGAAGGUUGUCUAGCUGUUGGAAUAGCUAGUUUUUGACUCAUAGAAGGUGCUUAGGCAAAUCCGGGCACAUAAUUCAAGGGAAC